rnacentral:misc_RNA from 1 species
GACGAAGGUGGCAAGCGUUGUUCGGAAUCACUGGGCAUAAAGCGCGCGUAGGCGGUCAGCUAAGUCGGAUGUGAAAGCCCUCGGCCCAACCGAGGAACUGCGUCCGAAACUGGUAGACUUGAGGAUCGGAGAGGUGCAUGGAAUUCCUGGUGGAGCGGUGAAAUGCGUUGAUAUCAGGAGGAACACCGGAGGCGAAGGCGAUGCACUGGCCGAUCUCUGACGCUGAGGCGCGAAAGCCAGGGGAGCAAACGGG